UAAAACCUGGCAGUGCCAAGACAAUGAGAAGUGCGAGGAAAGACCCACCGGUCCUGCGUGCGUUAGACUGACCUGCGCCGACAUCCGAUGCGCCGCUGGCGAACUUUGCAACGAACUACCCGACGGGCCGGACUGCGUGCCAGAUGUACCUUCAUGCGAAGGCUUCUUCUGUAAGCGCGGCACCAACUGCUACGUCCGUGACGGCUCUCCCAUCUGUCUGCCCAAUACGUGCG